rnacentral:rRNA from 1 species
AACGGGUGAGUAACACGUGGGCAAUCUGCCCUUCACUCUGGGACAAGCCCUGGAAACGGGGUCUAAUACCGGAUAACACUCCUGCCCGCAUGGGUGGGGGUUGAAAGCUCCGGCGGUGAAGGAUGAGCCCGCGGCCUAUCAGCUUGUUGGUGAGGUAGUGGCUCACCAAGGCGACGACGGGUAGCCGGCCUGAGAGGGCGACCGGCCACACUGGGACUGAGACACGGCCCAGACUCCUACGGGAGGCAGCAGUGGGGAAUAUUGCACAAUGGGCGAAAGCCUGAUGCAGCGACGCCGCGUGAGGGAUGACGGCCUUCGGGUUGUAAACCUCUUUCAGCAGGGAAGAAGCGAAAGUGACGGUACCUGCAGAAGAAGCGCCGGCUAACUACGUGCCAGCAGCCGCGGUAAUACGUAGGGCGCAAGCGUUGUCCGGAAUUAUUGGGCGUAAAGAGCUCGUAGGCGGCUUGUCACGUCGGGUGUGAAAGCCCGGGGCUUAACCCCGGGUCUGCAUUCGAUACGGGCUAGCUAGAGUGUGGUAGGGGAGAUCGGAAUUCCUGGUGUAGCGGUGAAAUGCGCAGAUAUCAGGAGGAACACCGGUGGCGAAGGCGGAUCUCUGGGCCAUUACUGACGCUGAGGAGCGA